rnacentral:rRNA from 1 species
UGAAUGGCUUGACGAGAAAUCAACUGUCUCUUAAUAAUUUUUAAAAUUUAACUUUUGAGUCAAAAGGCUUAAAUUUUUCUUUAGGACGAGAAGACCCUAUAGAGCUUGACAUUUUAUUUUUAUAUAGUUUUUAGUUGAUCUUUCUAUAUUUAAUGAUAAUGUUUUGUUGGGGUGACAUGAAGAAUAAUUAAACUCUUCAUUAUAAAAUCAUUGAUUUAUGUUUAUCAUGAUCCAUAAUUUAUGAUCAUAAGAUUAAGUUACCUUAGGGAUAACAGCGUAAUUGUUUUCGAGAGCUCAUAUCGACAAAGCAGAUUGCGACCUC